CAAGUCGAACGAAUCCCGUGGGGGUAACUCUGCGGGGGAAGUGGCGAAAGGGGCAGUAAAGCGUGGGUAACCUACCCCGGGGAUCGGGAUAGCCGUCCUAACGGACGGGUAAUACCGGGCGAUCUGGCGUGGAGGCAUCUUCGUGCCAGGAGAUGAAUUUCGCCUCGGGAGGGGCUCACGUAGUAUUAGCUUGUUGGUGGGGUAACGGCCCACCAAGGCCAAGAUGCUUAGCGGGUGUGAGAGCACGACCCGCGCCACUGGCACUGAGACACUGGCCAGACUCCUACGGGAGGCUGCAGUCGAGGAUCUUCGGCAAUGGGCGCAAGCCUGACCGAGCGACGCCGCGUGUGCGAUGAAGGCCUUCGGGUUGUAAAGCACUGUCGAGGGGGAGAAAAGCCCGCAAGGGUCUGAUCUAUCCCUGGAGGAAGCACGGGCUAAGUUCGUGCCAGCAGCCGCGGUAAGACGAACCGUGCGAACGUUGUUCGGAUUCACUGGGCUUAAAGGGCGCGUAGGCGGGUUAUCAAGUCGGGGGUGAAAUCUUUCAGCUCAACUGGAAAAGUGCCUUCGAUACUGAUGAUCUUGAGGGAGGUAGGGGCAUGUGGAACUUCCGGUGGAGCGGUGAAAUGCGUAGAUAUCGAAAGGAACGCCGGUGGCGAAAGCGACGUGCUGGACCUCUUCUGACGCUGAGGCGCGAAAGCCAGGGGAGCGAACGGGAUUAGAUACCCCGGUAGUCCUGGCCCUAAACGAUGGGUACUAGGUUGUGGACUUGACAUGGGUUCACAGCCGAAGCCAAAGUGUUAAGUACCCCGCCUGGGGAGUAUGGUCGCAAGGCUGAAACUCAAAGGAAUUGACGGGGGCUC
rnacentral:rRNA from 1 species